AAAAACAUAGUUUUGAGAUAUUAUCAUAUAAAUUCAAAAUUUCCCCUGCCCACUGAAUUUUAUCUAAUAAUUAAAUGGCCGCAGUACUUUGACUGUGCUAAGGUAGCAUAAUAAAUUGGCUUUUAAUUGAAGUCGAGAAUGAACGGGAUUUUAAUCAGAAUCUGUCUCAAAUAUAGAUUUAUAGAAAUUACUUAUUAGGUGAAAAUUCCUAUAAUUAUUUAUAAUAGACGAGAAGACCCUUAGAGUUUUUAUUAAUAAGGUUUAUUAAUUUAAGUUAUUUAAAGAGAAAUUUCUUUAAAGAUACUAACAUUUAAAUUUUUGUUGGGGCAACAAGUAAACAAAUAAAAUAAAUAAAACUUUACCAGAUGGAUAUUAAAGAUAAAUAUAUGUAUUAAAAUAUAAGACAAAAUAAUUUUUUGAAUGAAUUAAGACUACCUAAGGGAUAACAGCAUAAUUUAAUAUAUAAGAUUAUGACCUCGAUGUUGGAUUAGGGCCUAGCUAGGUUAACCACUUAGAAAGAA
rnacentral:rRNA from 1 species